UACAUGGGGUGCAAACGUUGCUCGGAAUUAUUGGGCGUAAAGCGUCCGUAGGUGGCUAGUCAAGUCUGCGGUCAAAGACUGGGGCUUAACCCUGGAAAGGCGGUGGAAACUGAAGCGCUAGAGUGUGGUAGGGGUAGAGGGAAUUCCCGGUGUAGCGGUGAAAUGCGUAGAGAUCGGGAAGAACAUCGGUGGCGAAGGCGGCGACCUGGUCCUUUUACUGACGCUGAGGCGCGAAAGCGUGGGGAGCAAACAGG
rnacentral:rRNA from 1 species